AGGACGAACGCUGGCGGCGUGCUUAACACAUGCAAGUCGAGCGGAAAGGCCCUUCGGGGUACUCGAGCGGCGAACGGGUGAGUAACACGUGAGCAACCUGCCCUUAGCUCUGGGAUAGCUCCGGGAAACCGGAAUUAAUACCGGAUACGACCUAGGCCGACAUCGGCCAUGGUGGAAAGUUUUUCGGCUAGGGAUGGACUCGCGGCCUAUCAGCUAGUUGGUGGGGUAAAGGCCUACCAAGGCGACGACGGGUAGCCGGCCUGAGAGGGCGACCGGCCACACUGGGACUGAGACACGGCCCAGACUCCUACGGGAGGCAGCAGUGGGGAAUCUUGCGCAAUGGGCGAAAGCCUGACGCAGCGACGCCGCGUGGGGGAUGAAGGCCUUCGGGUUGUAAACCCCUUUCAGCAGGGACGAAGCGAAAGUGACGGUACCUGCAGAAGAAGCGCCGGCUAACUACGCGCCAGCAGCCGC
rnacentral:rRNA from 1 species